UACGUAGGGGGCAAGCGUUGUCCGGAAUCAUUGGGCGUAAAGCGCGUGUAGGCGGCCCGGUAAGUCCGCUGUGAAAGUCGGGGGCUCAACCCUCGGAUGCCGGUGGAUACUGUCGGGCUAGAGUGCGGGAGAGGCGAGUGGAAUUCCUGGUGUAGCGGUGAAAUGCGCAGAUAUCAGGAGGAACACCGGUGGCGAAGGCGGGUCUCUGGGCCGAUACUGACGCUGAGGAGCGAAAGCGUGGGUAGCAAACAGG
rnacentral:rRNA from 1 species